rnacentral:lncRNA from 1 species
ACUGUCUACAUAUCUCAUUAAAUAAACCAACUUUUCAUCGUCGUCCGUUAGGCCUCUAACGUCAAUCUCUAAAUGCCUUACACACAACUACGUCAGGCAGCCAAAUGGGACAAGGUUGUAUCUUUCAAAGUGAAAGAAGGUUUUAUCUUCCUCCAUACAAAUUUAUCAUUAAAUUACAUAAUAAUAAUUUCAAGAUCUAUACAGAUAGAUGAAUAGAUAGAUUC